CCUGUAUGUACUUUGAAGCAGUAUAAUGUAUGUAUAUGCUGGAUAGCACAUCCACUGACUGUAGCUAUUAAUAAUUAGAUCUUUUGUCUGUGUAAAAAUACAUUUAAAAACCCCGCAGGUGAAAUCAUGAAUCUACCCAAUUCGUGACAAGUCCAGUCUUUGUUGAUAUCGUUGCCAGUGAAUGUGGAACUCACGUGACCCGUUUAGGCCAGUAGGUACAAUAUAGACGUUUUCGGUUUAAAGAGGAUUAAAGAUUCCACCUUAAUACCUGGGUGGUAAACAAGAGGAAGAAACUCUGCAAAUUCAUAUUUUUGGGAAUUAUGUCGAAAGUAUCAGACGAAAAGACGGAGGAAAAAGCUUCAGAGGAGAAGAAGGCCGAAUAUAAAGGGGAUGUUCGAAAAUAUGAUCCAAACUUCAAUGGCCCUAUUAAAAACAGAUCCUGCACAGAUGUUAUCUGUUGCUUGUUAUUCCUCGUCUUCCUCCUGGGAAUGGCUGCCUGCUCUAUCAUAGGGUACGCCCGAGGAAACCCUUACAAACUUCUUUAUCCCACAGACUCCAGUGGAAACAUUUGUGGAUAUGAUACUGGUUAUACGGGGAAGCCAUAUUUGGUAUAUUUUGACAUGUUACAGUGUGCUAAAACAGGCACAGCGGUCAUCAUCACAGGUUGCCCCACCCCACAGAUUUGUGUGGAUACCUGUCCAACAACGUACUGGCAUUAUCUUUAUCAAGAAGCCCUGGAAACAGCGCCAUCUCCAACUAAGAAUACAGCUGACCGGGCUACAGACAUGAUUUGUAAACCAGGAACAGACACCUCUGUUGGCACUAUUCAGAACUUGGUUGACACAGAUGCUUGUGCUACUUACUAUGUGAAAUCAACACCAGUGGUUGGUCGAUGUAUACCCUCGUUUUUCCUUGAGAUCACUGACAUGGCUCAGAAUCUGUAUGUCACAGCAUCCGGCAAGGACUACAACCUGACCAACUCUGCCGGGGAGGGGAUUACGGGAACAGCCAUGAAUGAGGCUAGCUAUUGGUUGGCUAAAUUUAUGUCCGUCACUCAAGUCAUAGAGAUGAUAUAUAAGGAUGUCAUUGCUUCUUGGUGGCUAAUUCUAGCGUUUCUGGGUAUAGCUAUGGUCGUCUGCUUCAUCUGGAUUGUGCUGAUGAGAUGGCUGACAGGAAUUAUUGUUUGGUUCAGUAUCUUUGCUGUUUUGGGCGUUAUUUCUUAUGCCUGCUACUACAGCUAUGUACAGUACUAUGAUCUGAAGUCGACAAACGUCACAGGAACAUGGGGCUACUCUGAAGCAUUUGCAUUGAACUUCAGCUACUACCUUAAACUCAAAGAAACCUGGCUUGCCUUUGGCUGCGGAACUGCAACAUUUUUAGCCAUAUUUGUCCUACUGUUGAUUUUCCUUCUGGACAGAAUCUGUAUCGCCAUCGAGCUGAUCAAGGAAUCCAGCAGAGCCAUCGGGAACAUGAUUUUCACCUUAUUCUGGCCCAUCAUCCCGUUUUUCAUUCAGCUUGCCAUUGUGGGAUACUUUGGCUUUAGCUCAGUAUAUAUAGCAUCUAUUGGUGACCAGAAGUAUUACACGAAUGGUACCAACACAACUGAUGAUGGUAUCAACUACUAUCUCUCCAGGAUCCCUUGUACCCCGGAUGAUUCAACCCAGGGCUCGUACUGUGACUUUGUGAAAUACGGAGGAACAGAGUAUAUUGUAGUGAUGCAGGUCUUCAUGCUGUUUAUGUUUUUCUGGACCAUGAAUUUUGUGGUUGCCAUGGGACAGAUGGUGUUGGCAGGGGCAUUUGCUUCCUAUUACUGGGCAUUUGAGAAACCAAAAGAUAUCCCAGCAUUCCCUCUCUCAGCCUCACUGUACAGAACAUUUAGAUACCACUUUGGAUCAUUGGCGUUUGGAUCUUUGAUCAUAGCCAUCAUCCAGAUGAUAAGAGUUGCUCUGGAAUAUCUGGACCAUAAGCUGAAAGGCUCCGAAAACAGAUUAGCCAAGUUCUUUCUCAAAUGCCUGAAAUGUUGUUUCUGGUGUUUAGAGAAGUUCAUGAAAUUUUUGAACAGAAAUGCAUACAUUCUGAUUGCAGUGUAUGGUAAAAACUUUUGUACAUCAGCCAAAGACGCUUUCUUCCUUAUAUUACGGAAUAUUGUCAGAGUGGUGGUACUGGACAAAAUCACAGACUAUGUCCUGUUUCUCAGUAAACUUCUGGUUACAGCAUCUGUUGGUGUUGCUGCAUACUUUUGGUUCCAAGGAAAGGUCACCUAUUUUUCGAACUAUGUGCCCACCAAUCUAAACUACUACAUCACCCCUGUUAUUCUGGUCAUCAUUGGGAACCUUCCUUAUCUGCACCUGUUUCUUCAGCGUCUAUGCAAUGGCUGUGGACACUCUUUUCCUCUGUUUCUUGGAGGAUCUUGAGAUGAAUGACGGAUCAGCAGAGAAACCCUACUUCAUGAGUAAAGGUCUGAUGAGCAUUCUGGGAAAGAAAAAUCUCAAGCCCGGUGAGAAAAAGAAAUGCUGCGGCUGCUGUUAAAACUAAAACUUAUCUGCAAAAACUUCAAUAAUGCAAAUGUAUUUGAUAUGCAACCUUGACUUAUUUAGUAACAGGAAGUACAGAUGUACUUAAGUGUGAGGGGUCCAGGGGAUGUCUCUCUUGUUAUUGUUGGUUAUUUGAGAUUAUAAAAUAUACGAGAAUGUAUGAGUUUUCUGUUUGUAAUUGCAGUAUAUGUCAGGAUUUAUUAAUGACAAUCGAUCUUAAGCAAAUUAAAUCAUCAAAUUUUUUUGGUAAUAAUAUAUCAUUGUUACUAUGAACAAUUUUAUUGUAAUUCCUCUUAAAUAUAAUCAAAAAAUAAAUCAGGGAGUUUUAACAUUGUUGAAGCUGAAAUUGAUCAUCCUCACAGUGUCCAAAUUUUCAUAUCAAAGUGUGUGUAAAAACUGAAUUGAAAACUAAACAAAAUUUAUAUGAAUGUGUAUCUACAUUUAUUUUCUUGAUUUUCAUAUCAUCAUUUGAUUAAUUUCUUAGAGAUACUCAAAAGUUUGUCUAUAAAUCCAUGCUCAUUUGCAAUCUCAAACAUUGAUUUUAUUUAUUUUGUUUUUUGUAUGAUUUUCUUACUAUUUAUACAACUCCUUGUUUUAUGAUAUUAGACAUAGGGAACUUUGUGAAAGAAACUAUAAGUGUACAGUUUAAAAAAGUGAAUGAAAUCCAGUUGUUAGUAUUAUUCCUGUAUUACAAUGGUUACAUCCUUUAAAGUUUUGUUAAUAAUGUGGAGAAGAAAUUGAAAAUGUUAGAAUAAGAAAAUUGUGACAAGAUCUAGUCAUUUAGUUCUAGCUUGUAAAAGUAAUUAUCUUAUGAUGGUAAUAUCAGCUCUUUAAAAGCACUGGUGAUAUAAAGAUUGCAUACUGAGCUCGUAAGUUUGAGGAACAAUUUUAAAACAAAGCAACAUCUGAUUUUUGUCAAGUGCCUUAUCCAUGUGAAAUAUGUUUUAACAUGUGCUUAAAAUCAUUGGAUUUUUAAGCUGCAAUCUGAAAAUUUAUAUGGAAGUCUGUCUAUAUAAUUUUAUUAUAUUGAUUUUUAUUAGGAUUUCUAGAAAGUUAUUAGAUGUCUGGUGUAUAUACAUGUGUAAUGAUCUUCUAUUUUUGUAUAACUUUUUAUAGAUGUUUUUAUUGUAACCUCUUGGCUGGUCCAGGAUUACUCCUCCCCCUGUCCCAAUCAUCAAUGUACCCUUUAUUUUAAUUAGUUAUCAUUUUCAUUUUGUUAAAAUCAUAUAGUCAGAUUUAUGUUCACCUUUAUAUUAUUAUUAAUGCUUUUUCAAUCUUCAAUAGGUAUGGCAUGCUUUCAAUGUCAUAUCUUUGUCUUGUAAUAAAUUUUACAUAAUAUGGCAUAAUAUAUGUGUCUGUAUAUUUGUAAGACAAAAGAAGUAAGAUUAGACUAUACUAUAGAAAUCAAUGUUGAUCGAGUGGAUGUUUUGAUUGGGGGUCUACAUUAUUAGGAUUGGAUCGUUAUAGCAACUGAUUGAUAAUGAUGUGAUAGGAUUAUCCUCUCCUGGUUUGAUAAAAUAUAAAACCUUGGUGUGAAUUGAAAAUGUCUCUACCAGGAGUUGUGAAAAUAUACAUAAGAUAAUUGUGCAUAUACAAUGUACUAGCUUGCAUCCCAGGGCUGCAUUUACCAACCAAUCUUACAACAAAUUUGUAGAUCGAUCUUCUAAGUCUCAUUGAACGAUCCUCAAAGUGCAAUUUUAUUUAUAAAAACAAAACCCAUGUACAUGUAUUCCAAACUUUAUCAGUAGCAACAUGAAUAAGUAACUGUUAUUUUUUUGAACAUUUUUGUGGGUGAUGAAUAAUUAACAUAUAUAAAAUUGGUCGUAAGUUGUUAAGUUCUUGUGUAAAAUGCAGCCCAGCACUUAUUUUGAAUGACGUUUUUGACAGUGGAUUCUAGUAUAUAAUUAUGUUCUGAUUUUGCUAUAAUUACCUGUGAUAAUCUGACCUAGCUGUCCAAAACUGAUGCUUUACAUACAAGUACAGCUGUACUGAUAUAUCUGUAAUUACAUGUACACUGAAACAAGGUCCCUGAAAUGUUUAUUUACUGCUUUAUUUUUCAUGCAUAUUUGUUUUUCAAUGUAAAGUUCAUUAUAAGAAUCAACUUUGGUAUGUGCAUGUAUGAAUAAAAAAUUAUGGCAAUUUAAUGUAAUGAUAUUUUACCAGAUAAUCUUAUAACCUUGCACAUUACACUACAGUGUUGUCCUUGUAAUAUACAUGAAAUAUACAUUGUAUGUGUUGAUAUUGACACAAUGAAAUUUUUGUACAGUGUCAAGGAAGGAGUUGUUAUAACUUUACUCUACUAAUGUAUCUUUUUUAAUUUAUGAUCUGCAACCUAUUAUGUUGAUUUAUUCAAUAUAAGUCAUGCAAAAUAUAAAUCAUGCAAAAUGUC
rnacentral:sRNA from 1 species